rnacentral:rRNA from 1 species
CACACAGUAAACGAUGAAUACUCGCUGUUUGCGAUAUACAGUAAGCGGCCAAGCGAAAGCAUUAAGUAUUCCACCUGGGGAGUACGCCGGCAACGGUGAAACUCAAAGGAAUUGACGGGGGCCCGCACAAGCGGAGGAACAUGUGGUUUAAUUCGAUGAUACGCGAGGAACCUUACCCGGGUUUGAACGUAGGGAGACAGGAGUGGAAACAUUCUUUUCAGCAAUGACUGCCUACGAGGUGC